GAUGAACGCUGGCGGCGUGCUUAACACAUGCAAGUCGAACGAAGCAUCUAAGACAGAUUACUUCGGCUUGAAGUCUUUUAUGACUGAGUGGCGGACGGGUGAGUAACGCGUGGGUAACCUGCCUCAUACAGGGGGAUAGCAGCUGGAAACGGCUGAUAAUAUCGCAUAAGCGCACAGUACCACAUGGUCCAGUGUGAAAAACUCCGGUGGUAUGAGAUGGAGCCGCGUCGGGUUAGCGUGGUGGCGGGGUAACGGCCCACCAAGGCGACGAUCGGUAGCCGAGCUGUGAGGGUGACCGGCCACAGUGGGACUGAGACACGGCCCAGACUCCUACGGGAGGCAGCAGUGGGGAAUAUUGCACAAUGGAGGGAACUCUGAUGCAGCGACGCCGCGUGAGUGAAGAAGUAGUUCGCGAUAUAAAGCUCUAUCAGCAGGGAAGAUAGUGACGGUACCUAACGAAGAAGCUCCGGCUAAAUACGUG
rnacentral:rRNA from 1 species